GCCUUAGUGGUCCAGGGGUUAGGAUUCUUGCCUUCCAUUGAAUUCAAGGUUAAUUGAAAUCAGCAAGAGGCCCGCGUUCGAGUCGCGGCUGAGGCA
rnacentral:tRNA from 5 species